UUCUUGAUUGAUCUUUCUAUGAUGAGCAUACAUGAGUGAUUUACUUGUCUUAGAGAAAAAUGCUUUUUAAUGUGUUAGAUUGUUGUAGUAUAUCUAUUCUAUGUAAGCCAAGUUAUAUUUUUGCUUGAGGACAAGCAAAGUUUCAAGUUUUGGGUUGUGAUAACGAUUGAAAAUACCGUUAUCUGUGAUGUAAUUUUGAUAUUAAAUGCACAUUUUUUGACUUA
rnacentral:lncRNA from 1 species